rnacentral:tRNA from 1 species
GCCGUGGCCUACUGGUUAGCGCUUCUGACUUGUAACCGGAGGGUUGCCGGUUCGAACCCUGACCAGUAGGCA